GACGAACGCUGGCGGCGUGCCUAAUACAUGCAAGUCGAACGCAGUGGGGACGGGUGAGUAACACGUGGGUAACCUCCCAUCAGAGGGGAUAACACUUGGAAAAAGCUGCUAAACUGCUACUGAUGGAUGGACCCGCGGGGCAUUAGCUAGUUGGUGGGGUAACGGCUCACCAAGGCCACGAUGCAUAGCCGACCUGAGAGGGUGAUCGGCCACACUGGGACUGAGACACGGCCCAGACUCCUACGGGAGGCAGCAGUAGGGAAUCUUGCACAAUGGGCGAAAGUCUGACCGAGCAACGCCGCGUGAGUGAAGAAGGCUUUCGGGUCGUAAAACUCUGUUGUUGGAGAAGCGGUAUCUAACGAGAAAGCCACGGCUAACUCCGUGCCAGCAGCCGCGGUAAUUC
rnacentral:rRNA from 1 species